rnacentral:misc_RNA from 1 species
GUUUCUCCCACGCCCCCAACCCAUACAACGGGCGGUGCAACAACAAUCGCAGAGUCAAAGAGAAACCCUAACUAUGGUUUUGGGGUUUCGGAUUUUGAAUUGUAAUUUCCUCGCGACGAAUAGCUGAGAAAUAGCUGAGAAUUAAUAUUCAAUUAGCAUUAAUAAUAUGGGAGGCGAUGAUAUUAGUCGAGAUAAAGACAAUCCAUGGCAAUCUCCUAACAGACCUUAUCAAGAGAAAGCCGAUUAUAUCGAACUUUGGGGAGUAUUUCUCUUCGGUCUAAUUGGCGCCACUGCUACCACUUUGGCUGUUGUUCAGCUGCGGAGGAAUGUUGAAUGGUUCAAUGCUCAGUUAAAAAGGUCAGAAUCAUCAUGGAAAGGAAGAACAGGCAGUUCCUUUCGGUCAACUUUUCAGGAGGAAGCAUGGAAAAGGUAUAAUCGUCGAAUGCAAGAGGAAUAUGAAGAGGAAAUGGAGAGAGUAGAACGUAUAAGGCGCAUGCAAAGUGUGUUUAACCGAGAGAGGAACAAGCACAAGAGAAGCUAUGAAAGCUGGAGGCAAAAUGGUUCAGGUGCAUAUCAUCAGCAUUUUCAGCGAGAUGAUUGGUAUUGGAAGACUGAUACGUCCUUCGGUGAUCAGAGGACUAACUUCAGGACUCCAAGAGAGAGAGCGAGCUACCCAUUAUCGCAUCAUUACUCAGUUUUGGGCCUUGAUAGGUCCGGAAAAACACCAUAUACUGAAGCUGAAAUUAAGAAAGCAUUCAGGGCGAAGGCAAAGGAGUUCCAUCCAGAUCAGAAUCAAGAUAAUAAAGAGUUUUAUGAGGCCAAGUUCAAAGAGGUAAUGAUAUCCUACGA